rnacentral:rRNA from 1 species
UACGAAGGGGGCUAGCGUUGCUCGGAAUCACUGGGCGUAAAGCGCACGUAGGCGGCUUUCUAAGUCAGGGGUGAAAUCCUGGAGCUCAACUCCAGAACUGCCUUUGAUACUGGAGCGUUGAGUCCGGAAGAGGUGAGUGGAACUCCGAGUGUAGAGGUGAAAUUCGUAGAUAUUCGGAAGAACACCAGUGGCGAAGGCGGCUCACUGGUCCGGUACUGACGCUGAGGUGCGAAAAGCGUGGGGAGCAAACAGG